GAAAUGCGAUAAGUAGUGUGAAUUGCAGAAUUCAGUGAAUCAUCGAAUCUUUGAACGCACAUUGCGCCCUUUGGUAUUCCUUAGGGCAUGCCUGUUCGAGCGUCAUCUAAACCUUCAAGCCCUGCUUGGUGUUGGGUGCCUGUCCCGCCUCCGCGCGCGGACUCACCUCAAAUCCAUUGGCGGCCCCCGCGUCGGCCACGAGCGCAGCAGAAACGCGAACUCGUGAGCCCGCCCAGGCGGCUCCCAGAAGCUACACCCACCCAGUUUGACCUCGGAUCAGGUAGGGAUACCCGCUGAACUUAAGC
rnacentral:misc_RNA from 1 species